ACCCCACUUUGAAUACACCAGUUCUCGUUUGAUCACCGAUAUUAAGCAGCGUCGGGUGCAGUCAGUGCUUAGAUGAGUGAACGCAUAGGAAGACCGUGAGAUGU